UCUUCAGUAAGGUACAUCCUUACCUGUUAUUCCUUUUAAGGAGUAUCAGAUCGUGAUGAAUGGAGACUUAUGAGAUAUGAUUAAUAUCUCUGUCUUGUGGGGAACAGCAACACCCCACAGGACUCAUUCUGAU